rnacentral:rRNA from 1 species
CCUACGGGUGGCUGCAGUGGGGAAUAUUGGACAAUGGGCGAAAGCCUGAUCCAGCCAUGCCGCGUGUGUGAAGAAGGCCUUCGGGUUGUAAAGCACUUUCAGUGGGGAAGAAAGCCUUGGGGCUAAUACCCUCGAGGAAGGACAUCACCCACAGAAGAAGCACCGGCUAACUCCGUGCCAGCAGCCGCGGUAAUACGGAGGGUGCGAGCGUUAAUCGGAAUUACUGGGCGUAAAGCGCGCGUAGGCGGUCUGAUAAGCCGGUUGUGAAAGCCCCGGGCUCAACCUGGGAACGGCAUCCGGAACUGUCGGGCUAGAGUGCAGGAGAGGAAGGUAGAAUCCCCGGUGUAGCGGUGAAAUGCGUAGAGAUCGGGAGGAAUACCAGUGGCGAAGGCGGCCUUCUGGACUGACACUGACGCUGAGGUGCGAAAGCGUGGGUAGCAAACAGGAUUAGAUACCCUAGUAUC